rnacentral:rRNA from 1 species
GAGUUUGAUCCUGGCUCAGAUUGAACGCUGGCGGCAUGCCUUACACAUGCAAGUCGAACGGCAGCACGGGAGCUUGCUCCUGGUGGCGAGUGGCGAACGGGUGAGUAAUGCAUCGGAACGUAUCCUGGAGGUGGGGGAUAACGUAGCGAAAGUUACGCUAAUACCGCAUAUUCUGUGAGCAGGAAAGCGGGGGACCUUCGGGCCUCGCGCUCUUGGAGCGGCCGAUGUCGGAUUAGCUAGUUGGUGAGGUAAAGGCUCACCAAGGCGACGAUCCGUAGCAGGUCUGAGAGGAUGAUCUGCCACACUGGAACUGAGACACGGUCCAGACUCCGUACGGGAGGCAGCA